rnacentral:rRNA from 1 species
GGGACUGUAUCCAGAGUACCACGAGACACGUGAAACCUUGUGGGAAGCAGGGGGGACCACCCUCCAAGCCAAAAUACUGAUAUCGACCGAUAGCGCAUAGUACCGUGAGGGAAAGGUGAAAAGAACCCCUGGCGGGGAGUGAAAGAGAACCUGAAACCGUAUGUCUACAAACAGUCGAAGUCUGUAUAUAUAUCAGGACGACGGCGUGCCUAUUGAAGAAUGAACCGACGAGUUACUGUUGCUAGCGAGGUUAAGUGGAAAACAUGGAGCCGCAGCGAAAGCGAGUCUGAACAGGGCGUUCAGUUAGUAAUAGUAGACCCGAAACCGUAGUGAUCUAUCCAUGGCCAGGUUGAAGCACAGGUAAAAUUGUGUGGAGGACCGAACUCGUGAGCGUUGAAAAGCUUUGGGAUGAGUUGUGGAUAGGGGUGAAAUGCCAAUCGAACACGGAGAUAGCUGGUUCUCCCCGAAAUAGCUUUAGGGCUAGCCUCGAGGUAGAGAGUAUAGGCGGUAGAGCACUGAUCGGGCUAGGGGCCAUACCGGUUACCGAACCUAGUCAAACUACGAAUGGCUAUACUUAUACUCGGGAGUCAGACAGUGAAUGAUAAGGUCCAUUGUCAAGAGGGAAACAGCCCAGAACACCGACUAAGGUCCCCAAUGUUACACUAAGUGGCGAAGGAUGUGGAAUUUCCAAAACAACCAGGAUGUUGGCUUAGAAGCAGCCACCAUUUAAAGAGUGCGUAAUAGCUCACUGGUCGAGAGACUCUGCGCCGAAAAUGUCCGGGGCUAAAGUGUAAAACCGAAGUCGUGUCAUAUGCAGCAAUGUAUAUGGGUAGGGGAGCGUUCUCAUCGGGCUGAAGCAGUACCGUAAGGAGUUGUGGACUGAUGAGAAGUGAGAAUGUCGGUAUGAGUAGCGAAAAGAAUGGUGAGAAUCCAUUCCACCGAAAGCCUAAGGGUUCCUGAGCAACGAUCGUCGUCUCAGGGUAAGUCGGGACCUAAGCCGAGGCGGAAAAGCGUAGGCGAUGGACAACAGGUUGAAAUUCCUGUACCGGUGUGAAUCGUUUGAUCGAUGGAGUGACACAGUAAGGUAGGUCAGCACGCGAUUGGAAGAGCGUGUUUAAGCAGGUAGGUUGAGCUAUAGGCAAAUCCGUAGCUCUAAAAGCUGAGAUGUGAUGACGAGUGACUAGCAAUAGUCGCGAAGUGAUUGAUCCUACACUGUCGAGAAAAGCUUCUAGGUAGAGACACAUCGCCCGUACCAAAACCGACACAGGUAGGCGGGGAGAGAAUCCUAAGGUGCGCGGGAAAACCCUCGUUAAGGAACUCGGCAAAAUGCCUCCGUAACUUCGGGAAAAGGAGGACUCAUGUAGUGUGAAGAGCAGCAACGCUUGGAGCAUGAAUGAGUGGCACAAGAGAGGCGCAAGCGACUGUUUACCACAAACACAGGUGCCUGCUAAAGCGAAAGCUGAUGUAUAGGUGCUGACACCUGCCCGGUGCUGGAAGGUUAAGAGGAGGGGUUAGACUUCGGUCGAAGCUCUGAAUUGAAGCCCCAGUAAACGGCGGCCGUAACUAUAACGGUCCUAAGGUAGCGAAAUUCCUUGUCGGGUAAGUUCC